rnacentral:hammerhead_ribozyme from 1 species
GUACUGAUGAAGAGUCCCAAAGUGAUGGGACGAAACAGAUGUCGAGUAU